rnacentral:tRNA from 1 species
UCCUGGUUAGCUCAGUUGGUAGAGCGCUCUACUCGAAAUGGAGUGGGCCCUGGUUGGAUACAAAGACUAGGCG